UUUCUAUGGAGAGUUUGAUCCUGGCUCAGAACGAACGCUGGCGGCGUGCCUAACACAUGCAAGUCGAACGGUAACAGGACUUUGGUCGCUGACGAGUGGCGCACGGGUGAGUAACGCGUGGGUUACCUGCCCAUAAGUGGGGAAUAACUUGGAGAAAUCCAAGCUAAUACCGCA
rnacentral:rRNA from 1 species